GAUGAACGCUAGCGGCAGGCCUAACACAUGCAAGUCGAGGGAGAAGCCCUUUCGGGGGCAGAAACCGGCGCACGGGUGCGUAACGCGUAUGCAACCUACCUUUCACAGGGGGAUAGCCCGAAGAAAUUUGGAUUAAUACCCCAUAAUAUUAUUUGAUGGCAUCAUUUGAUAAUUAAAACUGCGGUGGUGAAAGAUGGGCAUGCGUCCUAUUAGCUAGUUGGAGUGGUAACGGCACCCCAAGGCUACGAUAGGUAGGGGUCCUGAGAGGGAGAUCCCCCACACUGGUACUGAGACAGGGACGAGACUCCUACGGGAGGCAGCAGUGAGGAAUAUUGGUCAAUGGUCGGAAGACUGAACAAGCCAUGCCGCGUGCAGGAAGAAUGCCUUAUGGGUUGUAAACUGCUUUUAUAUGGGAAGAAUAAGGCGUACGUGUACGUUGAUGACGGUACCAUAUGAAUAAGCAUCGGCUAACUCCGUG
rnacentral:rRNA from 1 species